GUAGGGGGGGCGAGCGUUGUCCGGAUUUAUUGGGCGUAAAGAGCUCGUAGGGCGGCUUGGCAAGUCGGGUCGUGAAAUCCCGAGGCUCAACCUCGGAUCGUCGGUCGAAACUGCCAUGGCUAGGGUCCGGUAGAGGAGAGUGGAAUUCCCGGUGUAGCGGUGAAAUGCGCAGAUAUCGGGAGGAACACCAGUAGCGAAGGCGGCUCUCUGGGCCGGUACCGACGCUGAGGAGCGAAAGCGUGGGGAGCAAACAGGAUUAGAUACCCUGGUAGUCCACGCCGUAAACGUUGGGUACUAGGUGUGGCGAGUUGUACCAACACUUGCCGUGCCGCAGCUAACGCAUUAAGUACCCCGCCUGGGGAGUACGGUCGCAAAGGCUA
rnacentral:rRNA from 1 species